UCCGAAGGGGGCUAGCGUUGCUCGGAAUUACUGGGCGUAAAGGGCGCGUAGGCGGCCUGCUAAGUCGAACGUGAAAUCCCUGGGCUCAACCCAGGAACUGCGUCCGAUACUGGUUGGCUUGAAUCCGGGAGAGGCAUGUGGAAUUCCAGGUGUAGCGGUGAAAUGCGUAGAUAUCUGGAGGAACACCGGUGGCGAAGGCGACAUCCUGGACCGGUAUUGACGCUGAGGAGCGAAAGCGUGGGUAGCAAACAGG
rnacentral:rRNA from 1 species